rnacentral:rRNA from 1 species
GGCGAUCAGAUACCGCCCUAGUUCUGACCGUAAACGAUACCAUCUAGCGAUCCGGUGGUGGUUUUACCGCCUUGCCGGGGAGCUUCCCGGAAACGAAAGACUUCCGGUUCCGGGGGUAGUAUGGUUGCAAAGCUGAAACUUAAAGGAAUUGACGGAAUCGCACCACCAGGAGUGGAGCCUGCGGCUUAAUUUGACUCAACACGGGAAAACUCACCCGGCCCGGACACUGUAAGGAUUGACAGACUGAGAGCUCUUUCUUGAUUCGGUGGUUGGUGGUGCAUGGCCGUUCUUAGUUGGUGGAGCGAUUUGUCUGGUUUAUUCCGAUAACGAGCGAGACGCACCCCUACUUAAUACACCGUGAAUACUUUCGUUCACAGGUGUUCUUAGAGGAAUUGGCGGUAUUGAGCCGCACGAAAGUGCGCAAUAACAGGUCUGUGAUGCCCUUAGAUGUUCGGGGCUGCACGCGUGCUACACUGGAGUCUGCAACGUGUUCCAUGGCCGAAGGGUCACUGGUAAACCGUUGAAAAGAUUCCGUGAUCGGGAUAGGGAAUUGCAAUUAUUUCCCUUGAACGAGGAAUUCCUAGUAAGUGUGAGUCAUCAUCUCGCUCUUAUUACGUCCCUGCCCUUUGUA